ACUACUCCUACGGGGGCAGCAGUGGGGAAUAUUGCACAAUGGGCGAAAGCCUGAUGCAGCGACGCCGCGUGAGGGAUGACGGCCUUCGGGUUGUAAACCUCUUUCAGCAGGGAAGAAGCGAAAGUGACGGUACCUGCAGAAGAAGCGCCGGCUAACUACGUGCCAGCAGCCGCGGUAAUACGUAGGGCGCAAGCGUUGUCCGGAAUUAUUGGGCGUAAAGAGCUCGUAGGCGGCUUGUCACGUCGGUUGUGAAAGCCCGGGGCUUAACCCCGGGUCUGCAGUCGAUACGGGCAGGCUAGAGUUCGGUAGGGGAGAUCGGAAUUCCUGGUGUAGCGGUGAAAUGCGCAGAUAUCAGGAGGAACACCGGUGGCGAAGGCGGAUCUCUGGGCCGAUACUGACGCUGAGAGCGAAGCAUCUUCCC
rnacentral:rRNA from 1 species